CAUGCAAGUCGAGCGCGAAAGUGACUUCGGUCACGUGUAGAGCGGCGAACGGGUGAGUAACACGUGGACAACCUGCCUUGGAGUGGGGAAUAACUCAGGGAAACUUGGGCUAAUUCCGCAUACGUCUGCACCUCAUAAGGGGUGUUGAGAAAGGUGGCCUAUGCUUGCAAGCCACUGCUCCUUGAGGGGUCCGCGUUUGAUUAGCUAGUUGGUGGGGUAACGGCCUACCAAGGCGACGAUCAAUAGCCGGCCUGAGAGGGCGAUCGGCCACACUGGAACUGAGACACGGUCCAGACUCCUACGGGAGGCAGCAGUGGGGAAUAUUGGACAAUGGGCGAAAGCCUGAUCCAGCAACGCCGCGUGGAGGAUGAAGGCCUUCGGGUUGUAAACUCCUGUCAGGUGGGACGAACGAACGAAGGUUAAGAGCUGUCGUUCUUGACGGUACCACCAGAGGAAGCCCCGGCUAACUCCGUGCCAGCAGCCGCGGUAAUACGGAGGGGGCGAGCGUUAUUCGGAAUUAUUGGGCGUAAAGGGCUCGUAGGCGGCCUAGCAAGUCAGUGGUGAAAUCCCUCGGCUCAACCGAGGAACUGCCUCUGAAAC
rnacentral:rRNA from 1 species